ACUUGUGGCUGGGGGUGAAAGGCCAAUCAAACCGGGAGAUAGCUGGUUCUCCCCGAAAGCUAUUUAGGUAGCGCCUCGUGAAUUCAUCUCCGGGGGUAGAGCACUGUUUCGGCAAGGGGGUCAUCCCGACUUACCAACCCGAUGCAAACUGCGAAUACCGGAGAAUGUUAUCACGGGAGACACACGGCGGGUGCUAACGUCCGUCGUGAAGAGGGAAACAACCCAGACCGCCAGCUAAGGUCCCAAAGUCAUGGUUAAGUGGGAAACGAUGUGGGAAGGCCCAGACAGCCAGGAUGUUGGCUUAGAAGCAGCCAUCAUUUAAAGAAAGCGUAAUAGCUCACUGGUCGAGUCGGCCUGCGCGGAAGAUGUAACGGGGCUAAACCAUGCACCGAAGCUGCGGCAGCGACACUAUGUGUUGUUGGGUAGGGGAGCG
rnacentral:rRNA from 1 species